ensembl:snRNA U6 U6 spliceosomal RNA
GUGCUCACUUCAGCAGCACAUAUUCUAAAGUUGGACUGAAACAGAAAAGAUUGGUAUGGCCCCUGUGCAAGGGUGACAUGCAAAUAUGUGAAGCAUUCCAUAAUAUA